UUCGGAUCGUCGUUGUAUGUUGCUGUCAAGCGUCGUGGGUUGGUGUUCUGUGGAGUCUUUGACUCCCGGUACCUGGCCUGUCUGUGGAUUUGGGAUUUUCCUGCUCACCAUUGGACUUGUUUUUCGGUUUUGACUGCUUACCUGCUGUGUAUCAUCACCAGCUUUGGUUGCUCGUCUGGGUCUGGGUCUGGUUCCUGGCAUUCCCUGUUUCCCAGCUGGACCAACGACAACAUAAGUGUCAUAAGCCCCUUUCUGCGAGUGUCACGUAUUGAAAUGCAAAAAGACACACGGACAUUUCGCUGAUGGACACAGACUCGCUGUUAAAGCACAGACUUGAAAUGAUUGUCAUCUCACACACACACACUGUGACCUCAUCCAGAUGGGCUGAGCGAGCAGUGCAUCACCAGAGGAGCGAGUCACUGUGGCCCCGACAGAUUUUGGCUCCAGGACCGUCUCCCACCCCCCGCGACCUUCUGGAGAGCAGCCAGACGACGAGCUGUGUCACUCUGCUGCUGUGUGUCAACAUUUAGCCCAAAAUAUCAAUGUCACAUUAUGUCUGAUAAUACACAGAUGUCUGUCUUUAUUUUUAAAGCCCAGUAGCACAAAUCUGCCUCAAGGGGCUUUACAGAACAUUAGUUUAGUUAGUUUGGUGUGAAAUGUGAAGGACUGACUUACGAAGAUGGAACUUGGAAUAAGACACAAAUCUGCAGACUGUCCAGAUGUUUCUGUCCUCAUUGUUUCACCAACUUUUUUGAUGUGAUGAAAUUUCAUCAUUUGGACCAGCCAAUUAUGUGACGUCAUAAGGGAAGUACAGUCAAGAGGAGUUUUCAUGUCCUGGUUUUGCUCAGGACGGUUGUACGAUCACAAAGAUGAUGUGAGGAUUAGAAGUAUUGUGUAUUGACAUUAUAGCACUAUUUACAUUAAAGUAAUGUUUAAUUACCUUGAAGGACAGACUGUGACUGAUGUAAGGUGUCCAUAUUUGUUUGGUUUUAAGGCAUUUUUGUAUUGUUAAGCACCACUUUGGCUUUAUCGGAGCUUUAAGUUGUAAUUAGGACUUGGAUGUUGAUGUGAACGCUAUUUGAGGUGGAAAUCGCUUAAUUACCGUAACUCCAAUAUGACAUGAAUGCAGUCGAACAGUACCGCCACCCAAUCACAGAAGUAGUUUAGUUUUUGAAUAAUGCUGCAACCAGUCUGUCAUCAGUGCUGGUGUGGAGCGCGACACUGGAUCCAGACCUCUAAAUCGCUGCCCUCGUCGUGUUUUUUGAUGAUUAAAGCGGGUCUGGCGUUGUGCUCAUUGGCGUCUGUUUCCCCAGCUGAUAAAACAACUGAGCUGACCAGAACUGUGUAGGUGGGGGUACGAACAGAGACGUCCUCUCCCUGUGCCAGAGCCAGAAAAUGGUGACAAGCGUGGAUGAGACUGACGCAGCUGCACAGGAUGUACCAGCCCUCACUGAGCACGCCACCACCAUCGAUUUUGACCUAUCAUGCUUACCGUAGUUACCGUAGUCUGUGUGCAAAUGGCUUUUGUAUGUUGUGGAUGGUUAAAACUAUAAAAAUAAGUGGUUUAGAGACUGUGGUGAAACUGGGAGUGUGUUUGCAACUUGUUUAGCAGUCAGUCAGGCGGCCCUCGGUGUUCUGCUCUAAGGCUUCAUGUGCAUUGACAGGACGUGUUAGCUGCCAUAGUUUGUAGAGAGAGUAGAAGUCCUGAUGUCACUAUCACGCUUGCCUCUGUUCCACUAGCUUCUGUAACUCCCAACAAUCUCUUAUUCAGCAUUUCUUUAUUUGGUCUUUCUGAAACAAUGAAGCUUGUUCCUGAGGUUUACUGUCCAUAUUCUAAGAUAAAUCGGCUCCCUGACAGUGGCUGCUAUUAGAAAUCGGAACCUCCGUGAUCUUAACAAAGUAAAACAACAAAACUGCACCUCCCAUUAAAAAAGGAUUGUCAUCGUAAGUUGCUUUCAUCCAUCCGUCCAUCCAUUUUCUGCCGCUUAUCCAGAGCGGGUCGCGGGAGCAGCAGGCUAAGCAAGGUAGUGCAGACGUCCCUCUCCCCAGCAACAUCUUCCAGCUCCUCUUGGGGGAUCCAGAGGCAUUCCCAAGCCAGAUGAGAGAUAUAAUCUCUCCAGCGUGUUCUGGGUCUCCCCCGGGGUUUCCUCCCAGUUGGACAUGCCCGGAAAACCUCCAACGGAAGGCACCCAGGAGGAUCCUGAUCAGAUGCUGAACCACCUCAACUGGCUCCUUUCAACCCGAA